AUUGAACGCUGGCGGCAUGCUUUACACAUGCAAGUCGAACGGCAGCACGGGCUUCGGCCUGGUGGCGAGUGGCGAACGGGUGAGUAAUGCAUCGGAACGUGCCCAUUUGUGGGGGAUAACUACGCGAAAGCGUGGCUAAUACCGCAUACGCCCUGAGGGGGAAAGCGGGGGGAUUCUUCGGAACCUCGCGCAAUUGGAGCGGCCGAUGUCAGAUUAGCUUGUGGUGAGGUAAAGGCUCACCAAGGCGACGACUCCUGUAGCGGGUCUGAGAGGAUGAUCCGCCACACUGGGACUGAGACACGGCCCAGACUCCUACGGGAGGCAGCAGUGGGGAAUUUUGGACAAUGGGGGCAACCCUGAUCCAGCCAUGCCGCGUGAGUGAAGAAGG
rnacentral:rRNA from 1 species